rnacentral:rRNA from 1 species
GACGAACGCUGGCGGCGUGCCUAAUACAUGCAAGUAGAACGCACAGUUUAUACCGUAGCUUGCUACACCAUAGACUGUGAGUUGCGAACGGGUGAGUAACGCGUAGGUAACCUGCCUGGUAGCGGGGGAUAACUAUUGGAAACGAUAGCUAAUACCGCAUAAUAUUAAUUAUUGCAUGAUAAUUAAUUGAAAGGUGCAAUUGCACCACUACCAGAUGGACCUGCGUUGUAUUAGCUAGUAGGUGAGGUAACGGCUCACCUAGGAGACGAUACAUAGCCGACCUGAGAGGGUGAUCGGCCACACUGGGACUGAGACACGGCCCAGACUCCUACGGGAGGCAGCAGUAGGGAAUCUUCGGCAAGGGACGAAAGUCUGACCGAGAAACGCCGCGGGAGUGAAGAAGGGUGUCGGAUCGUAAAGCUCGGUUGUAAGAGAAGAACGGGUGUGAGAGUGGAAAGUUCACACUGUGACGGUAGCUGAACAGAAAGGGACGGCUAACUACGUG